AGAACGAACGCUGGCGGCAGGCUUAACACAUGCAAGUCGAGCGCCCCGCAAGGGGAGCGGCAGACGGGUGAGUAACGCGUGGGAACAUACCCUCCGGUUCGGAAUAGCUCAGGGAAACUUGGAUUAAUACCGGAUACGGCCUAGCGGCGAAAGAUUGAUCGCCGGAGGAUUGGCCCGCGUCUGAUUAGCUAGUUGGUGGGGUAAUGGCCCACCAAGGCGACGAUCAGUAGCUGGUCUGAGAGGAUGAUCAGCCACAUUGGGACUGAGACACGGCCCAAACUCCUACGGGAGGCAGCAGUGGGGAAUAUUGGACAAUGGGCGCAAGCCUGAUCCAGCCAUGCCGCGUGAGUGAUGACGGCCUUAGGGUUGUAAAGCUCUUUCGCUAGGGACGAUAAUGACGGUACCUAGACAAGAACGCCCCGGCUAACUUCGUGCCAGCAGCCGC
rnacentral:rRNA from 1 species